GUGGGGAAUAUUGGACAAUGGGCGAAAGCCUGAUCCAGCAAUGCCGCGUGAGUGAUGAAGGCCUUAGGGUUGUAAAGCUCUUUUACCAGGGAUGAUAAUGACAGUACCUGGAGAAUAAGCUCCGGCUAACUCCGUGCCAGCAGCCGCGGUAAUACGGAGGGAGCUAGCGUUGUUCGGAAUUACUGGGCGUAAAGCGCACGUAGGCGGCGAUUCAAGUCAGAGGUGAAAGCCCGGGGCUCAACCCCGGAACUGCCUUUGAAACUAGAUUGCUAGAAUCCUGGAGAGGUUAGUGGAAUUCCGAGUGUAGAGGUGAAAUUCGUAGAUAUUCGGAAGAACACCAGUGGCGAAGGCGACUAACUGGACAGGUAUUGACGCUGAGGUGCGAAAGCGUGGGGAGCAAACAGGAUUAGAUACCCUUGUAGUCC
rnacentral:rRNA from 1 species